UGGGUGGCGCCAUGGCUGGACAUUUGAUUGUGUACAUUACGAAAGAGCAAGCUGAGGGAGCACCGGGGAGCAAGCCAGUAAACCUCACUCCUCCAUGGCCUCUGCUUCCACUCCUGCCUUGAGUUCCUGCCUUGGCUUCCUUCCCUUCGUGAUGGAUUGUACCCUGUAAGAUAAAGAUUUCUGUGUGUAGCCCUGGGUGUCCUGGAACUCACUCUGCAGACAAGGCUGGCCUUGAACUCAGAGAUCUUGCUGACUCUGCCCCUGGAGCUGGGAUUAAAGGACCCAUGAUGCAUUUCCUUGCUCCACCAGACUUUAUCCUUUUCCCUCUAUCUCAAAGAAUUAAAACUCCCCAGUUUUCUCCCUACACGUGUGAGGAUGUUUUCUGUUUCCUUUGGGUAAUACGAUGAGCCACUGUGAGGACCCAGUAAUAGAAAGUGCUAUUAUACAAAAACAAAUCACAAGGCUGGAGAGAUGAUGGCUCAGUGACCAAGAGCACUUGUUGCUCUUGCAGAGGACCCAGGUUCAGUUUCCAGAACCACAGUUCCAGAAGCGACACCCUUCUAACUUGUAACGCUUCUUGUGACCUCCACAGGUGUCGGGCAUGCAAGUGGUGCACAAUACAUAGAGGCAAGCAAAACUUUCUCACACACAAAUCUAAGAGAUAUUAAAACCUCAACAAACUACUAUCAAUUAAUGUACAACAACAGCUUAAAGUACAAGUUAAAGCAGAUUUCUUUCCAAAGAAACUAGCAGACAGGUAUGGAGAUAGAAAAGUGUCAAUAGUAGUAUAAACAGAAUUGCUAUGUUGGCCUUUAAUCCCAGCAUUCGGGAGGCAGAGGCAGGUGGAUCUCUGUGAGUUGGAGACCAGCCUGGUCUACAAGAGCUAGUUCCAGGACAACCUUCAAAGCCAGAGAAACCCUGUCUCGAAUUACCCCCCCUCCAAAAAAAAAAAAAAAAGAAUUGCCUCAUUGGAGCAAAUAUUCCUAUCAGAGAAAUGGUUUUGUGGAUGAGUACUAAACACAUGCGAAACUCUGCUGCCAGUUCUGUAGCACCCACAAACUAGAUAAGGGAGUCCCAGCAUAAUUUGUCAACUUAUACCUAUAGGGAGGCAGGUGUCUUUCUGCAAGGUAUUUUUUAACUUUUUUAAAUUUGUGUAUGUGUGGCACAAGCAUUCCAUGGUAUAUGUGUGUGUGUAGGUUAGAGGACAACUUACAGGAGUCGGUUCUCUCCUUCCACUACAUCGAUCUUGGGGAUAGAACUCAAGGUUGUCAGGCUUGGUGGCAAGCACCUUUCCCCUCUGAGCCAUCUUGCCAGUCGGUAUUUUUAAAAAUUCUUUCAAACUUUAAUUUGGGAUAAUUUUCUAGCUGCUCCUUCGUCCUCUUUACUACUAUUAAUAACCAAACAAUUAUGGAUAAUUACAGUUAACAGCUAUAUGGCUUAUUAUGUGCUAAGCUGUACUCAGCAGUUGGUUAUCUCAUUUAAUGAAUCCUAAGCUGAGGCAGAUAUUCUUAUCAUUCUCAUUAAAAUGAAAAAAAAAAUCCUAAAACUCCAGCAUAAGUUGUCAUAGAGAUAGCAGCAUGCAGAACCCAAACCCAUGUACGUAAUUGCUAUGUCUGGAGGCUGCCACUAAAAUGUUGGCGUCAUCCAGAGUUCUAUUCUGCAUCCCCUAUUUCAUCAGUAUUGAACACUGGUGUGCGCAGCUUCCUUACCCACCCACCCCUCUAAAAAGAUUUUUAUCCUAAUGUUCUUAAGUCUUACUGAUUUUUUUCAUGUGCCCUUUAAAACUAUUUUCAUUUCCAAACUGCUGACUCAAUCAGGUAGACCAAACAUGCACACAAGGGGUUUACUAAAGAAGGCUCUUCUUAAUGAACUCUAUUGAAUGGAAUUGAAUGACAUUUUGUCACAAUGUUGGUGGCAUUGGAUCUGAUGGCUCAGAUGGUGUCUCAGGCGCUGUCUGCUGUGCUUGUCAGCAUCAUGAAGUCAUGCUAGUUUUCUCUGCUACCCUUUAGUUGCAUUUCUGGUGGUGUGACCUAAGGUCUUAGACAUGCUAGGCAGCUGCUCCUCCUCCUCCUCAAGUUGACACUCAGCCCUCCCUUUAUAAUUAUAAUUCAUAAAAAACUAUAAGAGUUUUGUGGGGAUUUAUUUGAAAUUAUGUUACAACUUAUCAAACUUUCAACCUAUCUAUUUUAUACCUGUGGGAUUUCCUGGGCCAUCGAGAUGGUUCAGCAGGCAGAAGUGCCUGCCAAGCGGGUCUGAGGACCUGAGUUUGCCUCUCCUCCAGAUGGAACAGUGGAAGGAGAGAACUGACUCUUCCACUAGUGUGUGUGUGUGUGUGUGUGUGUGUGUGUGUGUGUGUGUGUGUGUGUGUCUAUAUCUUUUGACCUGCUUUAUUAGCUUUUGCUUCUUUGUUUUUGUUUUUUGAGAUAGGGUUUCUUUGUGUAGCCUGGGCUAUCCUGGAACUUGACCUGUAGACCAGGCUGACCUCAAACUCACAGAGAUCCACUUGCUUUUACCUCCCAAGUGCUGGGAUUAAAAGGCGUGCGCCACCAUGACAGGCAGUUUUUGCUUAAAUUGUUUUACCUGACACAACUAAGGCUCCAAGUUCAUAUUGCAAUUUUUCUCCUUCAGUUUUGGAAUCAACUAUUUUGCUAAGAAAAAUGGACAUCAUUUUUAUGGAUUCAUUGCUCACAGAUCCUCUCAAGGAUCCUGCACAAACUUAUAUUUCUAUAUAUAGAGAUUGAUCCCGCUAUUACUAGCCUGCCAGAAAAGGUUCUCUAGGUAUCUUCUUCAAUGUAUGUAGCUUCCAUUUUCCUCAGUAUAAUUACCUACUGGACUAACACGCUGUACAUAACCAGUACCCUCUUUAUUCUCUCUGAAAGGCAGGUGUGCCCUCAGAGCACCCGUGGCUGCUUUCUCCGUGGACGCCGAUAGUUCUGGCUGCCUUUCCUUCCCUGGUUGUAUUGUCCUCUGACCUCAAGCAACUUCUAUAAAACACGUUAAAUUCAUUCUUUUUUUAUUUUCUUCAUUCUCUCCCUCUUCUCCCUUUGCCUCAGUGUGGUAAUUAGGGAAGACAUUAUUAGCCAUAAUUUUUGGGGAAUUGGUCAAACCUUGAUACAUAUGCUAAAAUUACAUAUGCUUCAAAUUCAUUGACUUCACGGUAAGUAUGGUUUUUCAGGCUUUUCUCUUCCUGUGAUGUGAGAAGCAGUGGUGUAGUACGGAAAGGACUCGGUGUAGAAUCGAAUGAAGUUUAGUUCCAACAAUUCUGAGACUGUGGCAAGUUACUCGUUUUCCUCAAAAAAAAAAAAAAAAAAGCUAGUACAGACCAGGGAGAUUUAUCUACGGCUUGGGGACAGUGAGUUGACUCACCUGCCCGUCUUCCCAAGCAAAAGUUACCUAGGGAGCUUUCUUGGCUUUUCGUGGCUCUUCAAUGCUGACAGAAAUUCAGCUUCCAACACUCGAUUCGAUAAUGCCAACGUUCUUUCUACCGUUCAUUUCCCUCUAUUCGCCAUUUGUGUUAGGUGCUUUUAUCCUUCGGUUUAUCACCUGACAUCUGAUUUGGCUUCAUCUUUCACUAAAAAACAAAACAAACAAACAAACAAACAAAAAAACAAAGUGUGGGGUGCGCCGACGGAGACCGCUUGAAGGAUCCUUUUUUUAUUUUUAUUUUUUGGUAGCAUCUCUUCCCAGGGAAAAGGCGGUUCCAGUUCUCUCCCCCACCCUCCCCAUCAGCAGGGGCGCUGAGCGGUCACAGCCGAGCCUCGUUAUUUCUAAACAAGCGCCGGUUCUUCACCGCCCGUGCCUCCCCCUGGCGACGGAUACUAACGGAAUCCUCCCGGAGACCGCGCUCGCCCGCUCGCCCGCCGCCCGCUCGCCCGCCCGCUCGCUCCAGGUCGCUGUCCCGGCCCCCGCGCGCCGCUCUCGGAAGUUUGGGAGCGCCUGUCUCCCGGGGCGCUCAUCGUACCCUCCCUUCCCCGGCCGCGUCACGCCGCCCGGGGCCCACGCAGCUCGGGGGUGGCAUCCUCGGCGAGGCGGGCAGGGGGGCGGGUGGCUGGGCGAGCCGAGCCCGGAGGGCUCCAACUUCCUGGCUUUCGUGCCUCGGAACGGAACAGAAGGGCCGCGUCGGCCCCGUCCAACCCCUUCUUCUCCCGGCAGGAGCUCGGUGCCUCCCGGCUUCUCCCCCCGUCAGCGGCCCCGGCCCCGGCCCCGGCUUGGACUCCGAAACCCGCUGCACACGCGCUCCCGCCGCCGCGCGCGUGCUCGCGGCGCCCCGCCCC
ensembl:lncRNA